GUCAAUUAUCUGAUUUUUGACCUCCGAAGUUUGAGUGGUCCUGUGUCAGCAAUGCUUUAUCUUGGCUACUCACUGAUAAUGGCAAUUGCAAUCAUGCUUUCUACCGGUACCAUUGGUUUCCUUACAUCAUUCUACUUUGUCCAUUACCUGUUCUCGUCAGUGAAGAUAGAUUGAAAAGAAUUGCUUCUGGAAUUCAUGCUUGAGUGUAGGAAGAAAACAAAGAGUGGCGUUCGUUAGUGAGCACUUUUCUGUUUCUCGACGCUAGAGUAGCAGUAAAUUUGCGAUUUAGCUUUUUAAUUCUUGUUGUGUCCCUUUUCUUUUCAACUCCUCCAGUUACAUUUUGUAAUAUUACGUAUAGCUUAUUUUUUUUCUUUGUCCAUUACCUGUUCUCGUCAGUGAAGAUAGAUUGAAAAGAAUUGCUUCUGGAAUUCAUGCUUGAGUGUAGGAAGAAAACAAAGAGUGGCGUUCGUUAGUGAGCACUUUUCUGUUUCUCGACGCUAGAGUAGCAGUAAAUUUGCGAUUUAGCUUUUUAAUUCUUGUUGUGUCCCUUUUCUUUUCA
rnacentral:lncRNA from 1 species